rnacentral:misc_RNA from 1 species
CAUUCAGUGCGUCACCGGAGUCAUAGGGGCAAAAGCGGACGCAAAGGUGCCAGGCCACGGCUACAACUAUGUUCCGGGUGUUGCACAACAAAGGUGUGGAGCUGAAAGAGGCUUUCUAGAUCUUUUAUUCAAGCGGGAGCGGCACUUUUAGUGCUCCUAUGGUUGAAGCGCUGCUUCCCUUCGUUGAGUCUUGCCGAUCGGAUAAGGCCUUCGGCGUCUUUUUGAAGGCGUGCAAAGCAGAGAGAAAAGUGCCUAUAACGUACGAAAAGUUCUUCGCUUUCGUGGCAAAGCUCUACAGCCUGUCUGCUCUUCCUAAGUAUUAAGUCGAGGAGGACCAUGCCAACGCAGAUCUGUGUGCUGCUCUCCCUUCAUUUGACCAUCAUGAUACCGGCAUGGUGGAUUGAAGUGUCGUCCUGUUAUAAUGGAAAAGGAGAGCAAGCUGCCACCGCAGGAGCAGGAGAACCUCCGCCUUCGGUUAGUGCAAGCACGCCAUACACG